AAUAAACCAAUUUCUACGUUUUUGAUUGAUUUUUUGACUCUUCGUCUUAUUUGAAUUUUUUUAUGAUUAAUAUUUUUAUUGUUAUUACAUGAUAAAAUAUGAAUAGUACUUUGCAUGUGAUAUUUUUUUUAAUUUUUUAAUAAACUCUUCAAAUAAGACGAAUGGUCAAACGCUAACUCAGGAACC
rnacentral:pre_miRNA from 1 species